ACGAACCUCUGGAGAGACUCAAGAAAAAGAGCACCGAAGGAGCAAGAUAACUUAUAUUUAAGUUAUUGAAACUCUCAGGUAAAAGGACAGGGGAUA
rnacentral:ncRNA from 1 species